rnacentral:rRNA from 1 species
AUACGUAGGGGGCGAGCGUUGUCCGGAAUGAUUGGGCGUAAAGGGCGCGUAGGCGGCCCGGUAAGUCUGGAGUGAAAGUCCUGUUUUUAAGAUGGGAAUUGCUUUGGAUACUGUCGGGCUUGAGUGCAGGAGAGGUAAGUGGAAUUCCCAGUGUAGCGGUGAAAUGCGUAGAGAUUGGGAGGAACACCAGUGGCGAAGGCGACUUACUGGACUGUAACUGACGCUGAGGCGCGAAAGUGUGGGGAGCAAACAGGAUUAGAUACCCUGGUAGUCCACACUGUAAACGAUGAAUGCUAGGUGUUGGGGGUAUCGACCCCUUCUGUGCCGCAGUCAACACAAUAAGCAUUCCGCCUGGGGAGUACGGCCGCAAGGUUGAAACUCAAAUGAAUUGACGGGG